UACCACGCCCAGCUCAAACUGCUGUACUUAGAAGUAGCACCUCGGGUAGAUUUUAUCAUUCCUUUGCUUCUGCCUGUAAGCAGCCAGACGCACCAAGAAGCUCGUUCAUCUGAUUCUCAAGACGCUGGGAAGAUUCGAUUUCAAUCUGAACUCGGACCUCGGAGCAAAUCUCUUUCAAGGAUGAAGAUCUUCGUCUUCAGUGUGUUUAUCGUCUUGUGCCUGAGCUUGGUCUCUGCGGCACCUUCACAUCCCGAAGAUGUGUACAAGGAGGAAGUCCAAAGGGCCAGAGUUGUAUUCUGCACCAGCCACAGCCAAUGCACUCUUCCUGGUGCAAAAUGCCUCUUUCACAAAGGCUACCCUGGGAAGUGCUACCCUCCAGCGAUUGGAUAACCCUUGAACUUUGAACCUUGAACUUGGAGAACAACGAUACUCCGGUGUUGGCGGGUUUAAAUUCGGUGUUUUGAGUUAAAUCGUAUGUCGUAGGUAAAUUAUCACUUUCAUAAUAAAUAAGGAGGGCAUUGUCGUCUGCAUUUUAUUGGGUGAUUGGGCUCAACCCCAUCCCCGUUUUAAAAUGUGUUUACGGUAUUAACUGUAUAACGUCAAACCUGACCCCAAGGUGUGCGUAUUACUCUGACGUCAUGAUGACGAAGGAAUGGUUCGUGGCUACAUGUAGCACCCAACAAAAUAUUAUUAUUUCGCACAGUGUAGUCACGAACUACGGAACAAUAGUCUUUCGUUUGCUCUGAGCAAUGCAUUAUUAUGCCCAUGCAAAUUUAAAAAACCCAUAAAACGUUUAUUUUUAGAAGAUGAGCAUAAUGUUGAAUAAACUCCAAGGACGUACGUUAGAGGCUCCGUCAAACUCGUCCAUUGAAUAUGUUGUUUCUAUUUUUUCAGUAGCCAUACGUUUUAUGUGCAGCCCCAGAAACGCGCUUCAAAUAUGUCCUGCAUAUAAUUAUUUGUCGAGAACAUGACAUAUUUUAUGUAGAUGAAGUCAAUGGCAGCAGCCAACGAACGAAGGCUAGGCAACUUCAAUAUGUUAACAUUAUCAUUCCAGUUCUAGAAUUUAGAUUUAGACCGAUUGUUCAACUGUUAAUUCUGGUUAUGAAUUUGUCAAUUUUCUAUCUCUAUUAUGCAUGAUUCAGUACUGGUUUUAGUUUAAUCAAUAUGGUGAUUUGAAGGGAAAAAACACGUUGGAAAUAAAAUUACGGUAAUCCAGAUAAGUUGA